ACUCCUACGGGAGGCAGCAGUAGGAAUUUUCCGCAAUGGAACGAAAGUCUGACGGAGCAAUGCCGCGUGAGUGAUGAAGGUUUUCGAAUCGUAAAGCUCUGUUGUAAGGGAAAGAAUAGCAAGAUAGGAAAUGAUUCUUGNCUGACGGUACUUACCAGAAAGCCACGGCUAACUACGUGCCGCAGCCGCGGUAAUACGUAGGUGGCAAGCGUUUAUCCGGAAUUAUUGGCGGUAAAAGCGCAUGUAGGCGGGCUCUUUAAAGUCUGAUGUGAAAAGCCUGUGGCUCAACCACAGAAUUGCAUUGGAUACUGGAGAGCUAGAAUCUUGGAGGAGGU
rnacentral:rRNA from 1 species